UGUGUGUGUGUGUUUGUGUGUGUGUGUGUAUGUAUGUGUGUGUUUAGACUAAAGAGGCUCAUGUGAACUGUGUGCAGAAGAUAAGAGAAACACUCCAACAACACAACUUUACAGGUACACACACACACACACACACACACACACACACA
rnacentral:miRNA from 14 species